ACAGGCCCAGGCAAUCUGGCCUUCCCGAGUUGCUACUUUGCAGUAAAGAUUCAGCAGUAGGGCUAAGGGAGUCCCUUUAUAUUAAACCAGCCACAAGUCAGCUAAAUUAUGCAUACAGAAGCUGCUUCCUCCACUGUUUACUUGGUAACUCAUUCUCCUCCGAAAAACAGAACUGAGGAGAGAAAUGAAAGAAGAGAGGAGAGAGCAAGAGAAACAGAAGAGUGGAUUUCCUUAGAAUUUCUUGGCACUCCCCCCACCAAACCAUUUUUUAAUCCCUGUUCUGCGGGCCCAGCUUCCCUUGCAAGCCUGAGCACACAUUGCUCCACUAUAAUAAUGACAAUGACAAGAAUAAUCCUGCCUCGGCAAGGUCUUUCUUUAUCCAGGGACCUCAUCAGCAUAGAAGACUGGUGUGAGAACCAAAUGCUGUGUUCCACAGAAAGCUGGGUCUCUUCUUCGACCAAAAGAAGUAAGCGAUCUGGAAAGAGGAAGCUUUGUGCUCCAAGAGUCUGUGUUUUAUUACAGGGAUGUCUCAGCCAGGAGCCUGGAAGGGAAGAGGGAAAAUUACUUUUCUUGCCCCAUAGCCCUUACCCAGCUGUAUGCAGAGUUGUGGGCAGGUGGCCUCGGGAGCCCGGGAGCAUUGGUCUCCACAGCAGUGUUUCCACUGGGGCCUCAAAAAUGAGGAGGACACACGUGCUUUUGCAUGAAAUCACAUGGGACAUGAUCUGCAUGGAUCCUGAAGGGGUGGCUCAGGCAACCUGCAGACCACCUCCUCUCAUUGCCAAAAUGUCAUGCUCUGUCCAGAAUGAAAAGCCAGGUCCCAGUGACUUGAACCCUGGAACAAAUGACAGACCUGAAAGUUCACUGUUCAACAGAUCAAACUGUUACUGAACCAAAGUGGAUCAGCUUCCUG
rnacentral:lncRNA from 1 species